rnacentral:tRNA from 1 species
GCAGUGGUGGUUCUGUGGUAGAAUUCUUGCCUUCCACAAAAGAUGACCUGGGUUUGACUCCCCACCAAUGCA